rnacentral:rRNA from 1 species
UACGUAGGCAGCAAGCGUUGUUCGGAAUUACUGGGCGUAAAGAGUGUGUAGGCGGUGUUCUAAGUCUGGUGUGAAAUCUCCCGGCUCAACUGGGAGGGUGCGCUAGAAACUGGAAUGCUAGAGGAUGGGAGAGGUAAGCGGAAUUCCUGGUGUAGCGGCGAAAUGCGCAGAUAUCAGGAGGAACACCAAUGGCGAAGGCAGCUCGCUGGGACGUGACUGACGCUGAGACGCGAAAGCGUGGGGAGCAAACAGG